rnacentral:lncRNA from 13 species
AUGUCCUGCAUUCCGAGUCGGUUGGGAGUCAAGGAGGCUACUGGUCAUUCAGGGAGGUCACCCGACCACAAGGAAGUCUCCCCACAAGGCAGAUACAGGGUCAAGUGUGGGUUUAUCUGGGUCUGUUUCAUCAUUUUGGUGGCUGAAGAAUAUUCCCUAGUGUAUGCAUAUGAAAGUUUCUUGAUCCCUUUGUGGAUGGACAGAGGGAGUCUUGCUCUGUCACCAGGCUGGAGUGCACUGGCCCAACCUUGGCUUACUGCAACAUUGGCCUCCUGAGUUCAAGCAAUUCUUCCUCCUCAGCCUCUGGAAUAUCUGGGACCAUAGGCGAGUCUCACCGAGCCUGGCUAAUAUUUUUGUAUUUUUAGU